GUACAUGUAUAUUAAAAUCGCCAGCAAAUAUGUUAUCCAAAAUAGUGUUCAAUCAGAAUAUAACACGUUGUCCUAAGGAAGCUAUAAUACCGGGUAUAAAAGCUCUGCCGGGGUAAAGCUAUCAGUUGGCAUGUCACACUAUAUUAUACAUACAUUUAAUUAGCUUUAAAAGAUUGAUAAUUGGAAAAAAAAAACUCGUACUGUAGUAUUUUCUUCAGGUAAAAACAUGAAAUCUUUGGCUAGAAUAUUGCUGGUGAUGUUGUUCCUUGUGCUUGUGGAGUUUUCAUUCACGGAAGCUGGCUAUGUGUGUCAAUUCCUUGUUGGAGGAACUACCUUUGUUGCGGCUUCCUUAGUUGGACCGUGGCUGGGCAUUUUCACUGGACCUGCUGGAUCAACCUUAGCUGACAAAAUUUGCAAUUAAACUUAAACUAAAAAAAAUGUAUAAGGCUAUACAUUGUAUUCUAUUUUGUGGGCUCUAAAAAGAAUCAGUAGGAAUAAUACAUAAGAAACACAUGUUAACAUAGUAUAUAUUGGUCUUGAACCACUUUAUGAUAAAUUUAAAUAAAUUAAAACAUGAC